CUCCAGCCCUGCUUUGGAGCAGUUGGGAACUUCAGCAUUUUGAUCCACCUUUUUGGAGCCACCUCAUGUGAAAGAUGGAUGAGACCUUCGUCAGCAAACCUGUCUACGUAGGAGCUGGUAUGAGGAUCACACAAUGCAAGCAAAUAAAAUGAGAAAAGAUGAUUCAACAAGAGGCUUCACUGAUUUACUGUUUAACUGCUUUGACCAAAGUGCUUGGUUCUUAUAUGAAUAAGAAAGGGGAUGAGUUAUCCACCAGAAUGAAAGUUAUAUUCUGGUUUGAAGCUUCUGCUGUCAGAUAAUAUAGUUUUCUAUAGUGUGGAAGAACAGCAUCAUCUUCAAGCAAGGUGGAAUUAAGCAUGGACAGAACUGUGUUUCUCACCCAGGAGGAGGGUAGGUUUUUUUUUCUUUUUUACUUCUUAAAACUUAUUUUAAUAUUAUUCUUCCCUCCCCCACCCCAUUGGGAAAAGGCUAAAACAAUCUGGAUGGGUUUAAUUAGAAAUUAAUACAUACUGUCAUUGUAUAAAGUAAAUCAACAUUGUGGCAACAAGGGACUAUUCUUGGAAAAAGUGAAACCCAUAUUAACAAAAUAUGUCAUGGAAGAUCCCCACAUAGUGAUUUCACUGGCUGCCUGAAAGACAGACAGUGUAAAGGUCGAUGUUCUGCAUGUUCUCUGGGGCUUGUCCAUGCAACGGAAGAAGGUCUUUCCCAGACUCAGCCAAGCCUAGUUAGCUCCAACCAGGCCCUAGACCAAAAGCAAGGGAAGAGCACAUCCUUUCAAUAGAAUAAGGGUAGAAAGGGAUUCUCUGAAUGUAGUAACUAUGAAGCUAUGCCAAAGGUAGGCAGAAAAUGGGCUUGGGAGCCAGACACUCCAGGGUUCAGUAGUUCCUACCCACAGUCUUUGUGUGCUUGCUAAAUGGUGUACAUUUCUUGUUAACCACGUUAUUAAAACUUGAUCAGCAU
ensembl:lncRNA PRDX6-AS1 PRDX6 antisense RNA 1